rnacentral:rRNA from 2 species
UACGUAGGUGGCAAGCGUUGUCCGGAUUUAUUGGGUUUAAAGGGUGCGUAGGCGGUCUUUUAAGUCAGUGCUGAAAUACUCCAGCUUAACUGGAGGGGUGGCAUUGAUACUGGAAGACUUGAGUAUAGUUGAGGUAGGCGGAAUUGACGGUGUAGCGGUGAAAUGCUUAGAUAUCGUCAAGAACACCGAUAGUGAAGACAGCUUACUAAACUAUAACUGACGCUGAGGCACGAAAGUGUGGGGAUCAAACAGG